GAAGAAAGAACGAUGGUGUGCAUCGUCAUGGUCAAGACUGGACUUGUCAGUUACGGUCUCUUGACUUGAGGUUAGUUUCGAAAGCAAACAAUGAUCACUCGGAUCAGGGAUUGACUGAGAUUUUGGGCCAAGGCAUACCCAGAAAGACGAACCCCAUUCCGAACGGCCCAACCAAAACCCACUUCCUGUCCUCUAGAUGUAGCAAGCGUUCCACCUUCAAACCCUAGAAGCCAUCCAUAAAUACCAGAUCGAAGCCGCUGCCCUUAUCCGCCUUCUCCUCCUCUUUACUCGUCGCAUCGAUCUAUUCGUCCAUUCUCCUCCAUCUUCUUGGGAUUGAUCGCUGGUAAUCGUCGUUUUCCAUACCCCAAAUCCUCAUCGUUAUCUUUGUUGGGCGGGAUCGACCGCUGGUAAAGCGGCGUCGAGCGAGUGCAGAUCGCCGUGGCCCAACGCCUCAUUAUGCCAGCCACAUCGAUCCGUCGAUCUCUGACCGAGCGGACUCCUCUUCUCUUCACGAGUCUCGCUCUUGUCAAGAUCCGAUACAUGCCGCAGAUCCCUCCCAAAGAUGUGCCUCUCCUUCUUGUUUCCGUUCCGAUUUGAACCUUUUUCGAUCGCGUGUUUUCAUGUCUAUUGGAUCGGUCGCUGGUGAUGUGGUGUUGAGAAUCGUGAUAUAGGUUUCUCUGCACCUCCCAUAACCAGCAAUACUAAUAUUCUUCCCACAACCAAUUCAACGGGUGCUGUCGAUUCGUUUUCGCUGCUCAACGUCGCCCAUGCCCCGAUGAACGGAGCUCAUCGUUACACGUGGCGCUUUGAUCACCUCGUGCCGUGUGUUACAUCUGAGCCGGACAAUCUGUGAUUCCUCCUAAAUCCCUUCCAUAGCAAAUAUUUUAGCAAGUAGGAGAACGUAAGGCUUUCUGUUAUCUGUACCAUGACGAUCAGUUGGGGUUUUCAUAAUAUUUAGCUCAUAGAGAUACCCGAACUAGCAUUGCUAGUGCAUGAAACAAGUUGAUCGGACAGAUUGUUCUUCGUCUUGGCCUUAAGUGCAUGCCAAAGCACUCCUAGUUUCGAGAAGAGGCUUCUGCUGAGAGGGCUCGCUUCGAUUUCCAUGUUUAUUCUAGAUUUGCCAGUGAGACCUGGUUAUCCUUUUUGGCAUCUAUUAGUUCUGGCAUCAUGCAUCUUGGUUGAUAAGUUAGAGAAGCAAAAGCUUGGGUUAGACACCUGCCACAGGUCAUGAGAAAUUUAUCGGUUUGUCAAUGCUGCUUUACGACUUGUUUGAAAUGAGUUCGUAUAAUAGAAGCACAAGUUUGGUCGGUUCGGAAUCUGUACACAAUUGGUUGAAACGAUUUAUGUAAUUGCUUGACUACUAUA